rnacentral:misc_RNA from 1 species
AGCAGCCGCGGUAAUUCCAGCUCCAAUAGCGUAUAUUAAAGUUGUUGCAGUUAAAAAGCUCGUAGUUGAAUUUCGGGAUCAGUACGCCGGUCGUGCCUUCGGUAUGCACUGGUGUCACUGGUUUCUCCCUUCUGAAGAACCAUCAUGCCAUUCAGUUGGUGUGGCGGGGAAUCAGGACUGUUACUUUGAAAAAUUAGAGUGUUUAAAGCAGGCUCGCGCUUGAAUACAUUAGCAUGGAAUAAUGAAAUAGGACGUUUGACCCUAUUUUGUUGGUUUCUAGGAUCGACGUAAUGAUUAAUAGGGAUAGUUGGGGGCAUUAGUAUUCAAUUGUCAGAGGUGAAAUUCUUGGAUUUAUUGAAGACUAACUACUGCGAAAGCAUUUGCCAAGGAUGUUUUCAUUAAUCAAGAACGAAAGUUAGGGGGAUCGAAGACGAUCAGAUACCGUCGUAGUCUUAACCAUAAACUAUGCCGACUAGGGAUCGGAUGAUGUUAAUUUUUAAUGACUCAUUC